AGCGAACGCUGGCGGCAGGCCUAACACAUGCAAGUCGAACGAACCCUUCGGGGUUAGUGGCGGACGGGUGAGUAACACGUGGGAACGUGCCUUUAGGUUCGGAAUAACUCAGGGAAACUUGUGCUAAUACCGAAUGUGCCCUUCGGGGGAAAGAUUUAUCGCCUUUAGAGCGGCCCGCGUCUGAUUAGCUAGUUGGUGAGGUAAUGGCUCACCAAGGCUACGAUCAGUGGCUGGUCUGAGAGGAUGACCAGCCACAUUGGGACUGAGACACGGCCCAAACUCCUACGGGAGGCAGCAGUGGGGAAUCUUGCGCAAUGGGCGAAAGCUUGACGCAGCCAUGCCGCGUGGAUGAUGAAGUUCUUAGGAUUGUAAAAUCCUUUCACCGGUGAAGAUAAUGACUGUAGCCGGAGAAGAAGCCCCGGCUAACUUCGUGCCAGCCGCCGCCGUAAUAC
rnacentral:rRNA from 1 species